UUUGUCUCUCUCUAACCCCCUUAUGUUAUGAGGCUGCCCCAGACCCAGGUAAUGUAAUCAAAAUGGCUAUCCCCGCAACAUGUCUACAGAUAACAUAACUGUCACAAUAGGGCCCGUGGUUACUGAUAUGAAGGUAAUAGGGUGGGCCUCCUUAUGUUUUAAAGACCAGUGGGGAACAACCCCUCUACAUAACUUAACUAACAACCAGUGAAACCAAGCUGAGAUAUACAAACAGAAGCUAUAAUACUCCAGAUGAUCCUCCAGUUGGACUAUUCUAGCUGUCGCUACUCUCCUUUGGAUGGCAAAGAACCCUAGCUGUCACAUUCCUCCCUUCGACGUCCCUGUCCAGCAGGAAGAAGCCAGAACGGUCUUCACCCCUCCUCCCAUGGCCGCAAAGGAUUCCCUGGCCUCCACAAACUGAUUUUCUCUAAGUCUGCUACAGCAGCUUGAGAAUCAAGGGUGGGGUGGGAAUGGGGGGGUGGGAGGUAGGGAUGAGAAGGAAAGUUGGUAAAAAGCAGAUAAAAAGGGGCAGCCAGAUGUCUGGGGCAGGAUACUCCCCUUGCAUGCUUUUGGCUUCUACAAUCUUGCUUGCCUCUUGUAUCAGCCAGAAGCCAGGAACUGUACUAGCCCCGCCCAACCCGGAAGCACGUAUGUAUAAAAAACCAGUAAAACCAUAGCAGGAUGCACAGUCUUUAAAGGUGACUCUGCUGGCCCAGCACCUGUGCGAAAUAAACAGUCUUUUCUGAUUCCCGGA